AUCGAACGCUGGCGGCAGGCUUAACACAUGCAAGUCGAGCGGAGAGAAGUAGCUUGCUACUGAUCUUAGCGGCGGACGGGUGAGUAAUGCUUAGGAAUCUGCCUAUUAGUGGGGGACAACAUUCCGAAAGGAAUGCUAAUACCGCAUACGCCCUACGGGGGAAAGCAGGGGAUCUUCGGACCUUGCGCUAAUAGAUGAGCCUAAGUCGGAUUAGCUAGUUGGUGGGGUAAAGGCCUACCAAGGCGACGAUCUGUAGCGGGUCUGAGAGGAUGAUCACGCACAAUGGGACGGAGACAAGGCCCAGACGCCUACGGGGGGCAGCAGUGGGGAAUAUUGGACAAUGGGCGGAAGCCUGAUCUAGCCAUGGCGCGUGUGUGAAGAAGGCCUUUUGGUUGUAAAGCACUUUAAGCGAGGAGGAGGCUCUUAAGGUUAAUACCCUUGAUGAGUGGACGUUACUCGCAGAAUAAGCACCGGCUAACUCUGUGCCAGCCGCCGCGGUAAAAC
rnacentral:rRNA from 1 species